rnacentral:lncRNA from 1 species
UCUGAUCUGCAAAGAAGUUCAGUCUGUCCUUUUCUCAGAUGCCACAUAUCAGUGAAAGUGUUUGAUGUUGGUGUGUCAUUGUAUGGUUGACUUCACUUAGCAUGAUAGUUUCUAGGUCCAUCCAUGUUGCUAAGAAUGCCAGUAUUUUGUUCAUUUUAAUGGCUGAGUAAUAUUCCAUUGUGUAUAUGUACUACAUCUUCUUGAUCCACUCCUCUGUUGAUGGACAUUUAGGUUGUUUCCACGUCUUGGCUAUUGUAAAUAGUACUGCAAUGAACAUUGGAGUACAUAUGUCUUUGCAAGUCAUGGUUUUCUCUGGAUAGAUGCCCAGGAGUGGGAUUGCUGGAUCAAAUGGUAGUUCUAUCUGCGGAACUCCAUACUGCUUUUCACAGUGGUGGCACCAAUUUACAAUCCCACCAACAGUGUCAUAGGGUUCCUUUUUCUCCACACCCUCUCUCACACUUAUUGUUUGUAGACUUUUGGAUGAUGACCAUUUUGGCUGUUGAAAGGUGGUAACUUAGAAUGGUUUUGAGUUCCAUUUCUCUAAUAAUGAGUGAUGUUGAACAUCCUUUCAUGUGUUUCUUGGCCAUCUGUAUGUCUUCUUUGGAGAACUGUCUGUUCAGAUCUUCUGCCCAUGUUUUGAUGAGAUUGUUUGGUUUUUUGGUAUGGAGCUGCAGAAGGUGUUUAUAAAUUUUGGAGAGCAAUCCCUUGUCGGUUGAUUCACUUGCAAAGAUUUUCUCCCAUUCUGUGGGUUGUCUUUUCGUUUUGGUUAAGGUUUUCUUUGCUGUGCAGAAACUUUUCAGUUUGAUUAGGUCCCAUUUGUUUAUUUUUGUUUUUAUUGUCAUUCCUCUAAGAGGUGGAUCAGAGAAGAUAUUGCUGUGGUUUAUAUCGAAGAGGGUUUGGCCUAUGUUUCCUCUCAGAGCUUUAUAGUGUCUGGUCUUAUAUCUAGGUCUUUAAUCCAUUUGGAGUUUAUUUUUGUGUAUGGUGUUAGGGAGUGAUCUAAUGUCGUUCUUUUCCAUGUGGCUGUCCAGUUUUCCCAGCACCACUUAUUGAACAAGCUGUCCUUUCUCCAUUGUAUAUCCUUGUCUCCUUUUUCAUAGAUUAGUUGGCUGUAGGUGCAUGGGUUUAAUUCUGGGCUUUCUAUCCUGUUCCACUGAUCUAUAUUUCUGUCUUUGUGCCAGUACCAUGUAGUUUUGAGGAUUGUUGCUUUGUAGUAUAGUCUGAAGUCCGGGAGCCUGAUUCCUCCAGCUCCAUCUUUCUUUUUCAGGAUGUCUUUGGGUAUUCCGGGUCUUUUGUGCUUCCAAACAAACUUUAAAAUAUUUUGUGCAAGUUCUGUGAAAAAUGUCCUUGGUAGUUUGAUAGGGAUUGCAUUGAUUCUGUAGAUUGCCUUAGGUAGUAUAGUCAUUUUGAUAAUAUUGACUCUUCCAAUCCAAGAGCAUGGUAUGUCUUUCCAUCUAUUUGCGUCAUCUUUGAUUUCUUUCAUCAGUGUCUUAUAGUUUUCAGAAUACAGGUCUUUUGUCUCUUUAGGUAGGUUUACUCCUAACUAUUUUAUUCUUUUGGAUGUGAUGGUAAACGGGAUUGCUUCCCUAAUUUCUCUUUCUGCUCUUUCAUUGUUAGUGUGUAGAAAUGCUGUCGAUUUCUGUGUAUUAAUUUUGUAUCCUGCGACUUUGCCAAAUUCGUCGAUGAGCUCUAAGAGUUUUCUGGUAGAGUCUUCAGGAUUCUCUAGGUAUAGUAUCAUGUCAUCUGCAAAUAGUGAUAGUUUUACUUCUUCAUUUCCAAUUUGGAUUCCUUUUAUUUCUUUUACUUCUCUGAUUGCUGUGGCUAGGACUUCCAGAACUAUGUUGAAGAGUAGUGGCUAGAGUGGACAUCCUUGUCUUGUUCCUGAUCUCAGCAGGAAUUCUUUCAGCUUUUCACCAUUGAGAAUGAUGUUCGCUUUGGGUUUGUCAUAUAUGGCCAUUAUCAUGUUGAGGUAGGUUCCUGCUCUGUCCACUUUCUGAAGAGUUUUUAUCAGAAAUGGGUGUUGGAUUUUGUCAAACGCUUUUUCCACAUCUAUUGAGAGGAUCAUAUGGUUUUUAUUCUUCAGUUUGUUAAUGUGGUGAAUCACACUGAUGGAUUUGCGGAUAUUGAAGAAUCCUUGCAUCCCUGGUAUAAAUCCCACUUGACCAUGAUGUACAAUCCUUUUAAUGUAUUGUUGGAUGUGGUUUGCUAGGAUUUUGUUGAGGAUUUUUGCAUCAUGUUCAUCAGUGAAAUUGGCCUGUAGUUUUCUUUUUUUUUUGGUAUCUUUGUCUGGUUUUGGUAUCAGGGUGAUGAUGGCCUCAUAGAAUGAGUUUGUGAGUGUCCCUUCCUCUGCAAUUUUUUGAAAUAGUUUCAGAAAGAGAGGUGUUAGCUCUUCUCUAAAUGUUUGAUAGAAUUCUCCUGUGAAGCCAUGUGGUACUAGACUUAUGUUUGUUGGAAGUUUUUUAAUCACAGUUUCAAUUUCAGUUCUUGUGAUUGGUCCAUUCAUCUUUGAGUCUUGGAAGAUUGUACUUUUCUAAGAAUUUGUCCAUUUCUUCUAGGUUUUCCAUUUUAUUGGCAUAUAGUUUCAUAUAGUAGUCUCUUAUGAUCCUUUGUAUUUCUGUGAUGUCCCUUGUUACUUCUCCUUUUUUAUUUCUAAUUUUAUUGAUUUGAGUCUUCUCUCUUUUUUGCUUGAUAAGUCUGGCUAGGGUUUUAUCAAUUUUGUUGAUCUUUUCAAAGAACCAUCUUUUCGUUUCAUUGAUCUUUUCUAUGGUUUUCGUUGUUUCUAUUUCAUUGAUUUCUGCUCUGAUCUUUAUGAUUUCUUUCCUUCUACUAACUUUAGGUCUUGUCUGUUCUCUCUUGAGCUGCUUUAGGUGUAAAGUUAGGUUGUUUAUUUGAGCUUUUCUUGUUUCCUGAGGUAGGCUUGUAUUGCUCUAAACUUUCCUCUUAGAAUGGCUUUUGCUGCAUCCCAUAGGUUUUGAAGUGUCGUAUCUUUGGUGUCAUUUGCUUCUAGGUAUUUUUUAAUUUCCUCUCUGAUUUCUUCAGUGACCCAUUGGUUGUUUAGUAGCAUGUUGUUUAGUCUCCUUAUGUUUGUGUUUUUUGCAGUUUUUUUUCUUGUGGUUGACUUCCAGUCGUAUAGUGAAGUGGUCAGAAAAAAUGCUUGAUAUGAUUUCAAUUUUCUUAAAGUUACCAUGGUUGGACUUGUAGCCCAGGAUAUGAUCAUUCUUAGAGAAUGUUCCAUGUGCACUUGAGAAGAAUGUGUAUUCUGUUGCUUUUGGAUGGAAUGUCCUGUAAAUAUCUGUUAAGUCCAUCUAAUUCAAUGCUUCAUUCAGGGCCUGUGUUUCCUUAUUGAUUUUCUGUCUGGAUGAUCUGUCCAUUGCUAUGAGUGAGUUGUUAAAGUGCCCACUAUUAUUGUAUUAUUGUAGAUUUCUCCUUUUAAGGUUUUUAGCAGUUGCGUUAUAUGUUGUGUCGAACCUAUGUUGGGUGCGUAGAUAUUUAGAAUUGUUAUAUUUUCUUCUUGGAUUAAUCCUUUUAUCAUUAUGUAAUGUCCUUCCUUUUCUUUUAAAACAUUUUUCAUUUUAAAGUCUAUUUUGUCUGAUAUGAGUAUUGCUACUCCAGCUUUCUUUUGAUCCCCGUUUGCAUGAAAUAUUUUCUUCCAUCCUCUCACUUUCAAUUUGUAUGUGUCCCUAGAAGUGAAGUGGGUCUCUUGAAGACAGCAUAUAUAUGCCUCUUGUUUUUGUAUCCAUUCAGCCAUUCUAUGUCUUUUGGUUGGGGCUUUAGUCCAUUCACAUUUAAGGUAAUUAUUGAUAUGUAUGUUCUUAUUGCCAUUUUAUUAACUACUUUGGAUUUGUUUUUGCUGCUCUUUUUCCUUUCCUUCCUCUAUUGUUCUUUUCUGCCUAGAGAAGUUCCUUUAGUAUUUUUUGUAAGGCUGGUUUAAUGUUGUUGAAUUCUCUCAGCUUUUGCUUAUCUGUGAAGGUUUUGAUUUCUCCUUCAAAUCAGAAUGCGAGCCUUGCUGGGUAGAGUAAUCUUGGUUGGAGGUUUUUUCCUUUCAUCACAUUAAGUAUAUCAUGCCACUCCCUUCUGGCCUUCAGAGUUUCUGCUGAAAAAUCUGCCGAUAGCCUUAUCUGGGUUCCCUUGUAUGUUACUUGUUUCUUUUCCCUAGCUGCUUUCAAGAUUUUCUCUCUGUCUUUAAUAUGGUCAGUUCGAUUAAUAUGUGUCUCAGGGUUUUCCUCCUUGGGUUUAUUUUAUAUGGUACUUGCUGUGCUUCCUGGAUUUGAGUGAGUGAUUCCUUUCCCAUGUGAGGGCAGUUUUUGGCUAUUAUCUCUUGGAUUAUUUUUUCUGUCUCCUUCGAUCUCUCUUCUCCUUCAGGCACCCCUAUAAUAUGGAUGUUGGUGCGUUUAAUGUUUUCCCAGAGUUCUCUGAGACUCUCUUCAUUUGUUUUCAAUCUUUUUUCUCUUUUUUGUUCUGCAUCCGUAAUUUCCACUAAUCGGUCCUCCACCUCGCUUAUUCAUUCUUCUGCCUCCUGUAUUCUGCUGUAAGCUUCUUCUAGUGAAUUUUUUAUUUCAGUUAUUGUAUUUUGUGUCUCUUCUUGUUUAAGUUUUAUAUCUUGUAUCUCUUUGCUCAGUGUUUCCUGUAAGUUAUCCAUCUUUGCCUCCAGUUUAUUCCCAAUGUUUUGCAUCAUCUUCAGCAUCAACAGUCUAACGUCUUUUUCCUGGAGUCUGAGUAUCUCCUCAUCCCUUAGCUGUUUUUCUGUGGUUUUUCCUUUCUCCCUCAUCUGAGUUAUAGUUCUCAGUCUUUUCAUUUUUAUAGGUUUUUGGUGUUGUGACCUUUGUACACAUAAUAGAGUUGUAGCCUCUCUUUCUUCUGGUGGCUGCCCCCCUUGUGGCUGAAUUUGGUCUGGGGGCUUGCAGUAGGCCUCCUGUUGGGAGGGGCUGAUGCCUGCCCACUGAUAGGUGGAGCUGAUUCUAAUCCCUGUGGUGGGUGGGGCUUAGUCUCUGGAUGAGAUUAGAGGCAGCUGUGUGCCUGAGGGGUCUUUAGGUAGCCUGUUUACUGAGGGGCAGGGCUGUGAUUCCACCUGGGUUUUUGUUUGCCCUGGGGCUUCUCAGCACUGACUGAUGGGUGGGGCCAGAUUUUCCCCAGAGCUUUGCUUUCAAUGUCCUUCCCUCACAACAAGCCACAUUCACCCCUGUUUUCCCAUGAUGUCCUCCAAGAACUGCAGUCAGGUUUGACUCAGAUUCCCAUGGAGACUUUGCUUUGCCCUGGGUCCCAGUGCACAUGAAAGUCUGUGUGUGCCUUUUAAGAAUGGGGUCUCUGUUUCCCCCAGUCCCAUGAAGCCACUGUGCACAGGCCCCACUGGCCUUCAAUGCCAGAUGCUCCAGGGCUCUUUCUCCCCAUGCCAGAUCCCCACAUGUGAGAAUUUAAUGUGUGGCUCAGAACUCUCACUUCUGUAGGUGAGUCUCUGUGAACCAGUUAGUUUCCAGUCUAUGGGGCUUCCCACCCAGGAGGUAUGGGGUUGUUUAUAUCUCAAAAUCGCCCCUCCUACCUUUUGAUGUGUCCUCCUCUUUGUCUUCUGGAGUAGGAUGUCUUUUUUAAGGUUUCCAGUCCAUUUGGGUGAAGAGCACUCAGCCUUUAGUUGUGAAUUUUGCUGUUUUUAGGAGAGAAGUUGAGCUCCAGUCCUUCUAUUGAGCCAUCUUAAUCCCAUCCAGAAAGAUGCCCAAAUGUUUUUUAUGGUUGUGUUUUCAUUGUCAUUUUUCUCAGGUAUUUUUACAUUUCCUUUUUGAUUUCCUUGUGGAUUGGUUUUUUAGUAGCAUGCUGUUUAGUCUCCAUGUAGUCAGUUUUUUCUCAUUUCUUUUCCUGUGGUUGAUUUCUAGUUUCAUGCCCUUGUGGUCAGGGAAGAUGCUUGAAGUAAUAAUUUCUGUACUCUGAAAUUUGUUAAGUUUUUUUUUUUUGCCUUAGUAUAUGGUUAAUCCUAGAAAAUGUUCCAUGUUCACUUGAAAAGUUUGUUUAUUCUGUUUUUUUUAAAUAUAAUAUCCUGGAAAUAUCAAUUAAGUGUAACUGCUCUAUUGUGUCAUUUAGAAUCUCUGUUGCCUUAUUGAUUUUCCAUCUAUAAGAUCUGUUAUUUGCUAUGGGUGUACCAUUAUUGUAUUCCCAUCAAUUUUUCCUUAUAUGUCUGUUAGUAUUAUGUAUUUGGAUGUGCCUAUAUUAGUUGUAUACAUGUUGAUAAGUGUAAUAUCCUCUUCUUGAAUUAAUCCUUUUAAAAAUUUAAUUAUAGAAAUUAUAAUAAAAUUUUAAAUUAUUUACAAGGUUCUGUUAAUUUCUGCUCUACAGAAAAGUUACCCAGUUUCACAUAUACAUACCUUCUUCUGAAUUGAAACUUUUAUCAUUAACUUGUGUCCAUCUUUAUCUUUCUUUUGAGAUAUUGUUUUAAAGUCUAUUUUGCCUGAUAUAAGAAUUGUGGCUCCUAUUUUCUUGUCAUUUCGAUUUGCAUGAAGUAUCUUUUUUCCAUCACUUCAGUUUCAAUCUAUGUGUGUCCCAUCAAGUGUAUUAUAGCCUCCACACACUGAAGAAAGACAUAGCAAGCAUCCAAACCAAAAGCAGCCCUCACACACACACACACUCAAGAAAAAAAAAAA